rnacentral:rRNA from 1 species
CUAAGAAUAUUCCGCAAUGGACGAAAGUCUGACGGAGCAACGCCGCGUGAGUGAAGAAGGUUUUCGGAUCGUAAAGCUCUGUCCUCAAGGAAGAUAAUGACGGUACUUGAGGAGGAAGCACCGGCUAACUCCGUGCCAGCAGCCGCGGUAAUACGGAGGGUGCAAGCGUUAUUCGGAAUUACUGGGCGUAAAGCGCGUGUAGGCGGCUGAAUAAGUCAGAUGUGAAAUCCCUGGGCUUAACCCAGGAAGUGCAUUUGAAACUAUUCAGCUUGAGUGGGGGAGAGGAAAGUGGAAUUCCUGGUGUAGAGGUGAAAUUCGUAGAUAUCAGGAGGAACACCGGUGGCGAAGGCGACUUUCUGGCCCUAUACUGACGCUGAGACGCGAGAGCGUGGGUAGCAAACA